rnacentral:rRNA from 1 species
AACGAACGCUGGCGGCAGGCCUAAACAUGCAAGUCGAGCGGGCAUAGCAAUAUGUCAGCGGCGGACGGGUGAAUAACACGUGGGAACAUGCCCUUUGGUACGGAACAACUCAGGGAAACUUGAGCUAAUACCGUAUGUGCCGGUAACGGGAAAGAUUUAUCGCCAAAGGAUUGGCCCCGCGUCCGAUUAGCUAGUUGGUGAGGUAACGGCUCACCAAGGCGACGAUCGGUAGCUGGUUUGUAGAGAACGAUCAGCCACACUGGGACGUGAGACACGGCCCGACGAC